rnacentral:rRNA from 1 species
GAUGAACGCUGGCGGCGUGCCUAAUACAUGCAAGUCGAGCGAACGGACGAGAAGCUUGCUUCUCUGAUGUUAGCGGCGGACGGGUGAGUAACACGUGGAUAACCUACCUAUAAGACUGGGAUAACUUCGGGAAACCGGAGCUAAUACCGGAUAAUAUUUUGAACCGCAUGGUUCAAAAGUGAAAGACGGUCUUGCUGUCACUUAUAGAUGGAUCCGCGCUGCAUUAGCUAGUUGGUAAGGUAACGGCUUACCAAGGCAACGAUGCAUAGCCGACCUGAGAGGGUGAUCGGCCACACUGGAACUGAGACACGGUCCAGAUUCCUACGGGAGGCAGCAGUAGGGAAUCUUCCGCAAUGGGCGAAAGCCUGACGGAGCAACGCCGCGUGAGUGAUGAAGGUCUUCGGAUCGUAAAACUCUGUUAUUAGGGAAGAACAUAUGUGUAAGUAACUGUGCACAUCUUGACGGUACCUAAUCAGAAAGCCACGGCUAACUACGUG